rnacentral:rRNA from 1 species
AUCAUAUGCUUGUCUCAAAGAUUAAGCCAUGCACGUCUAAGUACGAGCACUUGUACUGUGAAACUGCGAAUGGCUCAUUAAAUCAGUUAUUGUUUAUUUGAUCGUACCUUUACUACAUGGAUAACCGUAGUAAUUCUAGAGCUAAUACAUGCGAAAAGUCCCGACUUCCGGAAGGGAUGUAUUUAUUAKAUUAAAAACCAAUGCGGGUUUGCGCCCGGUCAUUUGGUGAUUCAUARUAACUYUUCKAAUCGSAUGGCCUUUGCGCCGGCGAUGAUUCAUUCAAAUUUYUGCCCUAUCAACUGUYGAUGGUAAGGUAGUGGCUUACCAUGGUUGCAACGGGUGACGGAGAAUCAGGGUUYGAUUCCGGAGAGGGAGCCUGAGAAACGGSUACCACMUYCRRRGAAGGCAGCCGGCGCGAAAAUUACCCAAUCCUGAUGCAGGGARGUAGUGACGAAAAAUAACMAUACMUGGCUUUUCAAGUYUUGUAAUUGGAAUGAGUACAAUUUAAACCUYUUAACGAGGAACAAUUKGAGGGCAAGUYUGGUGCCAGCCSCCGCGGUAAUUCCMKCUCCWAUAGCGUAUACUAACGUUGUUGCAGUUAAAAAGCUYGUAGUUGGAUUUCGGGAGGGUGCGGUCGGUCAGCCCCAAGGUGUGUCACUGKCYUUYUUCGCAAACACUGMUCGUGCUCUUAUCUGAGUGUGGGCAGGAUUCGCGACUUUUACUUUUAA